AGAGCAGCUGAGGAGAGUCAUGGAGAGCAGCUGAGGCCUGGCACUAUGUGGCAGGGUUGGAGUCCCUGAAGAGAAUCCAGGAGGGGCUAUUGAUGAACAUGCAUCCCAGUUGCAACAGAAGAUCCCAGCAUUUUGGAGAUGCCAGUACCAUGAGAUUCUGCCUCUCCUGGGUACCAUCUGCAGCAGAUGAGAGCGCCUGACAAUAUCCAACUUCAAGAGCGCUGCAGGCAUCAGCAAAGUCACCUCUGCUGUCUCUCUGAGGUCUAGAAGAAAGUGGGGGGCUGCCAGCAGGCCUGGAAACUGAAUGGACUGACUGGGAAAUCCCAUAUAAAUGGGAAGCCCUGACUGGA